rnacentral:rRNA from 1 species
GUGCCGCCGCCGCGGUAAUUCCAGCUCCAAUAGCGUAUAUUAAAGUUGUUGUGGUUAAAAAGCUCGUAGUUGAACCUUGGGCCUGGCUGGCCGGUCCGCCUCACCGCGUGCACUGGUCCGGCCGGGCCUUUCCCUCUGUGGAACCCCAUACCCUUCACUGGGCGUGGCGGGGAAACAGGACAUUUACUUUGAAAAAAUUAGAGUGCUCCAGGCAGGCCUAUGCUCGAAUACAUUAGCAUGGAAUAAUAAAAUAGGACGCGCGGUUCUAUUUUGUUGGUUUAUAGGACCGCCGUAAUGAUUAAUAGGGACAGUCGGGGGCAUCAGUAUUCAACUGUCAGAGGUGAAAUUCUUGGAUCAGUUGAAGACUAACUACUGCGAAAGCAUUUGCCAAGGAUGUUUUCAUUAAUCAGGAACGAAAGUUAGGGGAUCGAAGACGAUCAGAUACCGUCGUAGUCUUAACCAUAAACUAUGCCGACUAGGGAUCGGACGGUGUUAUUCAUGACCCGUUCGGCACCUUACGAGAAAUCAAAGUGCUUGGGCUCCAGGGGGAGUAUGGUCGCAAGGCUGAAACUUAAAGAAAUUGACGGAAGGGCACCACCAGGGGUGGAGCCUGCGGCUUAAUUUGACUCAACACGGGGAAACUCACCAGGUCCAGACACAAUAAGGAUUGACAGAUUGAGAGCUCUUUCUUGAUUUUGUGGGUGGUGGUGCAUGGCCGUUCUUAGUUGGUGGGGUGACUUGUCUGCUUAAUUGCGAUAACGAACGAGACCUUAACCUGCUAAAUAGCCCGCAUUGCUCCGGCAGUGCGCUGGCUUCUUAGAGGGACUUUCG